AGGCCGCCACAAUAAGGUACCACUGACCGCAGCUUAAAGGGCAGAAAUUAAUUGUGUCUCUAUCCUGGAGGCGGGAUUCUGGAGGCUGACACACCAGGGCUCUCCUAAUAAGGACACUAGUCACACGGGGCCAGGACCGGAGAAGGGGCCAGCAGGAGCCCGCGGGCUGGCACGGCGGGGUUGGCCGGUGGCCUCCAGCAGGGCCCCAAAGGAGACGUCCCGGGAGUCCCCGUGGAAGGGCCGGCCUCCUCGGGAAGAGCCUCGUGCUCCCAGACACCCCCGGCCGCUCUGCCUGCCGUCCCAGCGAGGCGGCCUCCAAAGGACGCGGUGACGCCCUCGGCACUCAGGAGAGGAGGAGGACGCUCCAGGACAGCCGUGCGCUCAGUCCCCCGGUUACAUCGGAGCCUGCCGGGAGGCAGAUGAGGGCCGGGCACUCAGGGGGCUCCCGGUGUCCUCUGCCGCCCGGAGAGGGCAGAUGAACAGUUGCGUCCCUGGCUCCGACGGGGAAAGGGCGAGCAGCCGAGGGACUGGGACGGAGACCCGGCUCUGCAGACACGUGAGCCGGCCACGCAUCCAACGGGAGCCAGUGCGGACAAGGGCACCUCCCGGGGGCCAUGCACGGUCCCGGCCAGGUUCACGGUUGAACAAAACAGAGAGCUCUGCCCUGGAGGAGCUCACUGGGCUCCCGGGGAGCCAGAGACCUCGGGGCGUGUCGCCGGCCCAGGCCAACGGUCCUUCCCUGGGAGCCGCCUGCCUGGGGUUACGUGGCGGCCGCUGCAGGAAGCCGAAGUGUGGGCAGCCAGGUGGCCGUCCCGCAGGGGAGGCCGGCCUCCACCCCCGGGUGCCUGGGGCCCCACACAGACCCACGGUCCCCUCCCGCGGCUUACACCUCGCGUGGCAGACAGCACACUUCGCGCCCGUCACGUGGCCGUGUCUGGGGGUCCUCACAUUGCUUUCUGGGAAGAUCAGACAGACACAGACGGCCCUUGAAGGCCGGCAGAUCCUUGAGCGACAAGCUGGGACGUGAUCUUAGGGAUGCCGGUCGGUCUGAGUGGUGUCCCCGGGAGGCCGCGAGCCUCAGCGUGCCCCCGGGGCCUCGAGGCCGCGUCUCUGUCCACCUCUGCCGAGCGAUCUCUGCCGAGCGACCUCUGGGUUUGUGACCAGAGGCCCCGUUUGCCUUGCACACACAUGGGCUCUGGUGCAGUGAGUCAGGAGCCAGGGAGGUGGGGUGCCUCUGACACCAGCGGGGCCACACCAGCCCCUCUGUGGGGACAGCCCUCACCCCACUGUAAGCAACCCUGAGCAGAAGCCCAGUGCUGGCUCCCAGAAAGGAGCGGGUGGGGAGGGAGCCUCAGGGGCAGAACUGUCCCAUGUCCCACGGCCUUGGGGCCCCGGGCAGAGGCCCGCAUGCCCCCCCAUUUCUGAUCCCAGACCCACAGCGUCUUUUCCCUGGUUCUCCAUGGCUUUCCUGGGUGUGGGAGUCCCGGGACGGAGGGGGUUGGAUGGGGGGGACCCUCAGAGUGCCUCCUCCCCCCGCGCCAGCAGCAGGGGGCGCUCGAGCUCAAGAAAGUGCCCACGAGGCCUGAACAAGCGUCUUUCCUAGAUAAAGCUAAGGAGGCCCAGCCCUGUGCCCCUCUGUUCGCUGGCGGUGGUGAGUUUGCUGGGGUGCCUGACCGCCCGACUGCUCCGGGUCGAUGGGGACGCUUCAGGCCCAGGCUUGUGGGGGUACGUGGUCACAUCAGUGCCCAGUGAUUACCCACGGGACCCAGGCCUCUUCCGGACGGGCAGGUCCACGAUCAUUGCUGUGGCAUGUCCUCUGUGCCCCGAAAACGGUAGCCAAGGCCUCCAGCCAGAAGGAAUCAUGCCGGACGCCAACCACGAACACAAAAUGCUUUCGGAUCGUCUAACACGCAAGAGAAUUCUGUGUGGCCCCCCGGCCACCCAACAGCUUCGUGGCUGGGUGCUGUUUUCCCCACGACGCCUUCCAGCUUUCGGUCCCUGUGAGCUGUGAGACCAGCAGCCAUGGAGCGGGCAAGACCCAGGAGGAAGGAGACACGGGCUGCAGGGAGCCUCCUCUUCCGGCCUGCAGGUCAUUGGGAACAUGUUGCCUGGGGGUUCGGGACCACCACGCACCGAGGCCCCACGGCAGCCAGACCUGCCGCCCCGCCCCGACUGCCGUUGUUACGUCUCACGGGCCAUCGCACGGGAGACACGUGGCACUGAAGCUGUUACCAAAUAUUCGACAGCUAAAUUUGCACUGGAGUGAUCUGCCUGCUUUUCUGUAAACACGUCACAGGGGAAGAGGAGUGAUUCCCGCCCCCCUGUGCCGCAGGCAGACUCAGCGGCCUCGUGGGGCCCCGUGGCGCCCCACGCGAAAGGGGGAAGCCCCAAAUCAGUUAGAACUUAGUGACGGGAAGAGGUCGUCCCUUCCCACCCACAUCCACAGGCCCAGGCGUGUCCAGGAGAGAGUCCCCUCCUCCGCCGUCCCCCCUCCAGGCCCCUGUCUUUCCGCGUGCCCACUGAGGUCCUGGACCAGCUCCUUGGAAGUACCUGCUCCGGGUGGCCCUCCGGCCUCGCCCUUGGCCUCCAGCCAGCUGGGCCCGUGCUGGCCCGACACUCCCAUGGUCCUCCUGUCCGCACCUCUGCUCGCACCCAGCAGACCCGGCCCACCCCAGGCAGUCCCCUCCAGCUGCUCUGCACCCCCCCCCGCCCCCCUGUAACUCAUCCCACUCCUGAGCCUGGCCCCCCACUCCCCGCGGACUCUUGUCCGACCCAGACCCGUGGGGCGGGCCGCAGCCCCACCUGCUGGAGCUGGGAGCCCGGCCCCCCCGGGCAGGGGGGCUGCU